GCCAUGAAGAUGAUGAACAAAGUGCUU
rnacentral:piRNA from 1 species